UAAGAAGUUAAAUCAAAUGUAACAAAACAUUUCUUAAAAAAAAAACAAAAACUGGGGAGUAAAACUUUGCAACACCAAACUUUGACUAAACAUGAUCUUGCCCAACCUCAUCCCACCAGUCAAGGCCCUUUAGUGUUUACUUCAAUGUUAAACUGUAAGCUUUGGUCAAAUACUAUCUGUUUACUCUCCUGUCUCUCUGUAAUUCAGGUGGACAUUGAUGUCUGUCCCUGUCCAAAAUCGCACCUUAUUCCCUAGAUGGUGCACUACUUCUGACCAGAGCCAAUAGGGGCGCACUACAACAAAAGUGCACUAUACAGGGAAUAAAGAGCCAUUUCAUUUGAUAUACAAAUAAACCCUGUGUUCUUUACCCCACCAUCUUCUUUAUUCCGUCUUUUCUUUAUAUCUGAAAUGGGUAAGGGGUAUGAAACAUGUAAUACCACCUGAAGACCUAGUCAUGCUUGCUUACGGCUCAGUGAAAACAUGUCCCGGGUUUUGGAUGAUGCCCACUUGGGUGGACAUUGACAUCAAACUGAGGUCCUGUCAAGGAUCAGGCAACAGGACCUUUGCUUUCCUUAUCGACCACGACAGCUACCGGUCACAACAGGUCCUGAUGACCAAAUUCAAACACUACCAAGCAUCAGAAGAAGAACUCCCCCGUUAAAGACAUCCUGAAGAUCAACUACAACUAGUGGAUGUUGACCUGCACCGUUGUUCAGCUACAAAACAAUCCCCAUCGUCCACAAGGAACUCAUGGCUCAGUUUGAGGACCUAGAACAGAACCAGGUGGUUCUAGAAGACGUUCUAGAAGAAACAGAAUGUCUGGGUUCUGUAGGGGUGACAGCCUUUCAAGAAUGUUAAUAAACCAAGAGAGAACUCUUGCUGGAUAACCAAAAUAUUAUUUUGAAUAGUAUAUUGUGUCAUUUUGUACCCUUAUCACUUAUAUUAAAGGAAUAUUGUUUAACUACAAUUUACUUGUAUAUGUAUGAUAUAGAAAAAAAUGUCUUCUCACUGUCAACUGCUUUUAUUUUCAGCAAACUUAACAUGUGUAAAUAUUUGUAUGAACAUAAGAUUCAACAAGUGAGACAUAAACUGAACAAGUUCUAUAGACAUGUGACUAACAGAAAUGGAAUAAUGUGUCCCUGAACAAAGGGGGGGUCAAAAUCAAAAGUAACAGUCAGUAUCUGGUGUGGCCACCAACUGCAUUAAGUACUGCAGUGCACUCCUCCCUCAAUGGAACUGCACCAUAAAUGAUUUGCCUGUUCUUGCUGUGAGAUGUUCCCCAAUCUUCCACCAAGGCACCUGCAAGUUCCCGGACAUUUCUGCGGGGAAUGGCCCUAGCCCUCACCCUCCGAUCCAACAGGUCCUUGAACAGGCAUGGGAAACAGUGUUUAACCCCUUUACAGUGAAGAUCUGUGAAGUUAUUUGGAUUUUUACGAAUUAUCUUUGAAAGACAGGGUCCUGAAAAAGGGACGUUUUCUUUCUUUCUGAGUUUACAUUGCAUGAUUAUAUUCACUAAACAGCAAAGCACUCCAUUUUGAAAGCAUUGUUUUGAAGCACUUUGAACUGCAUUUUUG
rnacentral:lncRNA from 1 species